rnacentral:misc_RNA from 1 species
AGCUUUGGGAUGGAUCACAAGUAACGUUUAGUUUUUCAGCUUCCAUAUGCUUUUAAAAUGAGUUUUUGUUAAUUAUGUCAAUAAUUGUCUAAUUUACUGCUCUGUAGUUAAUUUACCAUGCAAAAUAUACCAUAUCUACAAUUGCAUUGAGAAGUUUAUGUUGUCAAUUAAUAACAACUUCAAAUCAGAUAUCUUGAUGAAAGUUGUCUGCUUAGAUGGUCUGUGUUUCAGUGCAGCAGUCCAAGAAAUUUGUAUCUAUCUACAAAUUCACACUAUAGGAGAAGUAUUAUGUGAUGGUUACACUUCAUAGUAUUAUGUUCUCUUGCAAUAAUUUACCUGGCCUGUUUUGAGAUGCCUACCCUUGGAGAUUGAAGUUCCUUUCAGAAUCAUGCUAGAAUAGAAAUGAUGAAAUAUUUCUUGAUUAUUUGUGGUUAUAAUCAAACUAGAAAGUCAUUUAAGUUCCCCCUUCCCACACUUCUCCCAGCAGUUAUCCAGAAGUCAUUUGCUUUGUUACAUUAUGACAUACCCUUCUAAGUACCAAAUCAAACAGGAAUAAUAGGUGAACAUGACCUGGUGAAAAUAUAAUUUCGAGUAAACACAUCUGAACAGUUGUAGUCUAAACAAUGUCAGUAAUUCUUUCCAAGCAGCAAUUUCAAAUGUUUGCAAGUAAAUUUGAAUUGGCUUCUGCAGAUCUACCACAACUUGUACUCUCACUUGAUAACAAUAGGUUGCAUAGCCUUUUUUCAGGCUCAUCCAUUUGCAAAGAUUGGUCUCAAGCCUGACCAAAAAUUUGUUUUUACAAAAAUCAGGACACAAAAAACAUCUCAGGUUGUUAGGGGAGCCAUGAUGUAGUUAUAAUUUAUUAAUUAAAAUGAAUUCUCAAAAGAAUAAAAUGUUUUGGUUCUGAACUGUUGGGGGCCUUUUGUAAUAUCCUUUUCUCAAGUUGUUGAUUUGAACUCAUUUUGGAAAAGCAGAUAUUACGUGCUCUUUCCAGGAACUGCUGAAAAUGGAGACUUUGUGGAAUUGAUUGUUUUAUAGUCAUACAGGCACUAUAACUUUCCAAUAGAUUUUGAAUUGUGGUUUAUAACUUAAUUCAUUUUCAUCACCAAAUUAUAAUCUUCUUGAACUUCACAAUGUCUCUACCAAUUUCUUGGGUGGGUGGUUUGCAAGUGCUUUUUGAAGGCACCACUUAAAAAGUGACAAUGAGGCAAUUUAUCGGUUUCCUUAUUACCAAAGCUUGUUAUGCAACUUGUUAUUAAUAGUUCUAUGCAUAGAAAUCAAUUAUAUUAUCUGAAUUGGUAUAUAGAUUGAAACCAGAAGGGUGUAUGUAUUCAAGUCCUGAGACCUACUAUUUUGUGCCUAAAAUGCUGCGGGAUAGGGUUUUCACUUUUCACCAAAUUCUCUCUCAAGGCCCCCUUGGGCCAUAUUCUGAAUGGCUAAUGGCAUUGUUUACUGAGGCUUGCUUAAUUUUCAAAUCAUCAUUAGUUGAAUAUUAUUUUUUUCAUGCAUGCGUGCGCUCUCACACACACAUAUAUAU